AGCUUGGAAGCAGCUAUUCAUUCAAAGAGUGCGUAACAGCUCACUAGUCGAGCGACAGAGCGUGGAUAAUAAACGGGCAUCAAGCAUAUCACCGAAGUUCUGGGCGCGAGAGCGCGGUAGGGGAGCAUUCCAUUCAGCGUCGAAGCAGUUUCGUGAGGAAUUGUGGAGCGUAUGGAAAAGCAAAUGUAGGCAUGAGUAACGAUAAUGCGGGAGAGUAACCCGCACACCGCAAGACCAAGGUUUCCUGAUCAACGCUAAUCGGAUCAGGGUUAGUCGGGUCCUAAGGGUAAGCCGAACGGCGAUCUCGAUGGAUAAUCGGUUAAUAUUCCGAUACUAACAUAUACCUCGAUGGAGAGACGAAGGAACGUAAGUGCCGCCACCUGACGGAAUAGGUGGUUAAAGGGCGUAGAUAUAGGGGCAGAUUAAGAGUUAGUCCUUGCUGAAACCUGACAGUACAGAGAGCCUACGGGCAAUUUGAUAGAGCACCCAAGUCGACUUCCGAGAAAAUCUUCUAAGUUAUAGUAUAUGUUACCCGUACCGUAAACCGACACAGGUGGUCGAGGAGAGUAUCCUAAGGUGCUCGAGUGAAUCACGGUUAAGGAACUAGGCAAAUUAACCCCGUAACUUCGGGAAAAGGGGUCCCUAUGAAAGUAGGGCGCAGCGAAGAGGUCCAGGCGACUGUUUAUCAAAAACACAGGGCUCUGCAAAUUCGAAAGAAGACGUAUAGGGCCUGACACCUGCCCGGUGCUGGAAGGUUAAGAGGGGAUGUCAUCGCAAGAGAAGCAUUGAAUCGAAGCCCCAGUAAACGGCGGCCGUAACUAUAACGGUCCUAAGGUAGCGAAAUUCCUUGUCGGGUAAGUUCCGACCUGCACGAAUGGUGUAACGAUCUGGACACUGUCUCAACCGUGAGCUCGGUGAAAUUGUAGUCCCGGUGAUGAUGCCGGGUACCCGCAACGGGACGAAAAGACCCCGUGAACCUUUACUAUAGCUUAACGCUGAAUUUGGGUACACAAUGUGUAGGAUAGGCCGGAGGCUUUGAAGCGGGCACGCCAGUGUUCGUGGAGCCGACGUUGAAAUACGGCCCUUUGUGUAUUUGAGUUCUAACCCUGCGAAGGGGACACCGUUUGGUGGGUAGUUUGACUGGGGUGGUCGCCUCCAAAAGCGUAACGGAGGCUUCCCAAGGUACCCUCAGCACGAAUGGUAACCGUGCGCGGAGUGCAAUAGCAUAAGGGUGCUUGACUGUGAGACAUACAAGUCGACCAGGUACGAAAGUAGGGUAUAGUGAUCCGGUGGUUCUGCGUGGACUGGCCAUCGCUCAAAGGAUAAAA
rnacentral:rRNA from 1 species